GACGAACGCUGGCGGCGUGCUUAACACAUGCAAGUCGAACGGAAAGGCCCUGCUUUUGUGGGGUGCUCGAGUGGCGAACGGGUGAGUAACACGUGAGUAACCUGCCCUUGACUUUGGGAUAACUUCAGGAAACUGGGGCUAAUACCGGAUAGGAGCUCCUGCUGCAUGGUGGGGGUUGGAAGGUUUCGGCGGUUGGGGAUGGACUCGCGGCUUAUCAGCUUGUUGGUGGGGUAGUGGCUUACCAAGGCUUUGACGGGUAGCCGGCCUGAGAGGGUGACCGGCCACAUUGGGAUUGAGAUACGGCCCAGACUCCUACGGGAGGCAGCAGUGGGGAAUAUUGCACAAUGGGCGGAAGCCUGAUGCAGCAACGCCGCGUGCGGGAUGACGGCCUUCGGGUUGUAAACCGCUUUCGCCUGUGACGAAGCGUGAGUGACGGUAAUGGGUAAAGAAGCACCGGCUAACUACGUG
rnacentral:rRNA from 1 species